rnacentral:rRNA from 1 species
UACGUAGGGACCGAGCGUUGUCCGGAUUCAUUGGGCGUAAAGAGCUCGUAGGCGGCCACUCAAGUCGAAUGUGAAACCUCGAGGCUUAACCUCGAGCCUGCAUUCGAUACUGGGCGGCUAGAGUCUGGUAGGGGGAUCUGGAAUUCCUGGUGUAGCGGUGGAAUGCGCAGAUAUCAGGAGGAACACCGGUGGCGAAGGCGGGAUCCUGGGCCAGUACUGACGCUGAGGAACGAAAGCUAGGGGAGCAAACGGG